UAGCUUAAUAAUUAACCUUCUGAAUUAUUUUCCUGGCAAUUCAGAAGUUUCAUCUUGGCUUGGAUCCAUUGCAGGUGAGCUGGCAUAAUCUUUUGGGGGAGUUGAAGAACCUUAUUUUGUCAUAUUAUCAUUAUUGUCUCUCUGGUUUCUUCUCAUUCGGGUACAUUAUGUCAGAGGGAAUAUCUGGGAUUCAAGGGCUGCUCUUCAGAGUCUUUUGUCCCAUGGGGUGCUCCCUUGUUUCGGUGUUCUCCCGCUUCCCCUAGGAAUGGGGCUUCCUGAGAACUGAACUGUAGUGAUUGCUUUGCUUUUCUGGAUCUGGCACCCAGUGGAGCUACCAGGCUCUGAUUGAUACUGAGGAGUGUCUGCAGAGUCCUGUAAUGUGAUCCAUCUUUAGGUCUUGCAGCUGUGGAUACCACCACCUGCUCUGGUGGAGGUAGUAGGGGAGUGAAGUGAACUCUGUGAGGGUCCUUGGUUGCGUUUUUGUUUAGCGCUGGUUUUGUGUUGGUUGGCCUCCAGUCAGGAGAUGGCGCUUCGGGAGUGCAUCAGCUGUGGUCCUAUACGGAGGAUGCAAAAGUAUUCAGGUUUCUCAGGUGGUGGGCAGGGCGAUAGAGCUUUCAAGACAUUAUGACUUUUGUCUUUGGCUACCAGGACACAUAGAGAAAGACCACCAGACUGGGAUAGGGAUAAGGUGUGUCUGAGCUCAGCCUCUCCUUGGGUGGGGCUUGCUGCAGCUGCUGUGAGGGAUGGGGGUACAGUUCCCAGUCCGAUGGAGUUAUAUUCCCAGGGGGAUUAUGGCUGCCUCUGCUGAGUCAUACAGUUCACCAGGGAAGUGAGGGAAAACGCAGUCACAGGCCUCACCCCACCCCCACACAGCGUGAGUCCUAAAGGCCAGUCUCACUCCCACCAUGCCCCACCCGCCCCCAGCAGCACUGAGUCUAUUUCCAGACAGCUAGUGACCAGGGCUGAGAACCUGCCCCAGACCACCAGCCUCCCUAUUGAGAAAGCAAGCCGACUCACAGUUUUUCUGCAUCUCAGGGAGCCUGCAGCGGUGAUCCAGUUCUUUCAAAGGGUUUGUGGAUUCUCUCGGCUUUCCUGUUUUUCUCCAUAAAGAUCUGAUCCACUCUGAGAAUGCUAAGAAAACCCAGUCUCCCAAGUCCACAGAGCUAAGAAUCAGAUUCUGAAGUGAGGAGUCUGAGAACAUGAUGCCCUGUACAGUUCAUCUUGGCAUUUUAAAAAGAUCACAACAUUAGCACACACAUGAAGAUAAGAAGAAAAGAGGCCAUGCCUGCGGAAUUAUGCCAGUGCUUUUCAGGCUCUGUGGAAAGUCAGCUACCUGGAGUACCUCCUUGAAAUCUGGAGAACAAAGAUGCUCAUCAUCAGAUUCCAGUUCUAGUGGGGAAAUAAAGUUACUAAAAGUUCAUGCACAGGGAUGUUGAGCUAGUUUUAUUUUUCUCCCUUGGAUAUUGGGACAAAACACCCCUCGUUAAAUACGGUUUAUGCUGAAGAAAGAUGAAUAAUUCUCAUCAUUAUCUGCAGUAUCCCUGAAAAGCUAAAUAUGCAGUCAAACUCUGGAUCAUCUCACAAGCAUUGAGGAUUAAAGUGGAAUGUGGACAGAAUCAGAAAAGAGAAGACAGAGCUGAGGAAGGCGGUUGAAUACAACAAGGAGGCUGAAUGUCCCCUCCUUCCCCACACCUGACCACAGCCUCUAGCUGGUUUGCUGUCUCCCUUUUAGACUAUGUCACCUUUUUUAAGUAUUUAGAAAGAACAUUUAAUCUGGAGGCCUCUUAGGCUAAAUAGAAGAACAAAUCCUCUGCCAAUUGCAUGCUCUUUGAUAAAUUCUCAUUGCUUUUAGAAUUAAAUCCUAAAGCAUGACUAGGGCCUCUGAGACUAGUAUGUCUGCCUUUUCCCUUCCUUCUUCCUCAUUUCAUACCAUCCUUCCUCUGCCACUCACUGCAUCCCCAUCAGUCAUUCUGGCCUGCUUUGUCUCCACGGAUGAGUGACUUUGGCUUUCCCUUGCCAGGAAUACGCCUUUUUAAACACCCUUCCCACUCACGUCCACCUGAGUUAUUCUCUAUAUCAGCAAUAUAGUUUGAUUCCGUUAAAACAGUUUUCAAAACUUGUAUUUUCUUAAAAAAAAUUAACCUAUAUAUUAGCAUCACUGUUGUUAGACCAGAUGCUUCUAGAAUGUCCCUUUUUUUGCUCAUCAUUAACUCCACUAAGCCUAGAAAUUGCUCUGUGCUUAGAGAGAACAUGCAAAAUGCAGGAAGAAUAUAUGUGUGCUUGAGUUCAGAUCUCAGCACCCCCAGGUACUCUUGUGUUACCUGAGUGACAUUGGGCAGGUGGCUUAACUGAUAUUUAUCCCAGACCUGGGAUCUGUAAAAUGAGGUUAAAAUAUUUCCCACCCAGAGCCCCUCAACAUUCAACACUCCCAAGAUAACUCCUUAUUGCACAUAUUUGUGACUAUACGUCUCAGAGCUCGUCUCUUGUUUAGUCAGUGCUUAGAACAGUUGAUGCCAGUGAUGAAAGGGCAGUGACGGGCAAGUGUCCCAGCUUCCUGGUCCCUUAGUCACAUUCUGAUAAGACACUGAGGUGUGUUCUACACUACCUCCUGUAUACAGAGUCUCAGUCAUACUAGAUGUGCACUGCUCAAUAACAAACCUCAUCCUUUCUCACCCUGUCUCACUUACCAUUUACUGGGGCUUUUGGGGAUUAUCUUUUAAAUAAAUUACUUUCAUUCAUAUUUUUUUCUGAAAGUCGGCUUCUGGAGGAGCCCAACCUAAAACACAGGGUUAAUAACAUUUCCAGGCCGGGCGCGAUGUGUCACGCCUGUAGUCCCAGCACUUUGGGAGGCCGAGGUGGGCAGAUCACCUGAGGUCAGGAGAUCGAGACCAACCUGGCCAACAUGGGGAACCUCCCUCUCUACUAAAAAUACAAAAACUACCCAGGCGUGGUGGCGUGCACCUCUAGUACCAACUACUUGGGAGGCUGAGGGAAGUAGAAGUGCUUGAACCCAGGAGGCGGAGGUUGCAGUGAGAUUGUGCCACUGCACUCCAGCCUGAGUGACAGAGUGAGACUUCAUCUCAAAAUAAAUAAAUGAAAUGAAAAAAAGAAUGACAUUUCCUAUGUCGUCAAAUUAUUUUGAGAUCCUAACUCAUGGAAUUAUUUGAAAGCACAUAUGAGUGCUCAAUAUAUGUUGGGUGUUAGCAUCCCUUCACUCUGUUGAACAGCGGUUGAAUCUAGCAGCUAAGAAGUUAGAUUCAGGAGCGAGACAGCCUGCAUUCAAAUCCCAGUUCCACCACUGGCUCACUCUGUACCUUGGGGCAAGC
rnacentral:lncRNA from 1 species